GGGAGAAAGAAGAGAGAAUUCUGUUUGUGAGGUCUCAGCCUUGGUGGCAUCUGCCCUCCAAACCCACGUGCCUCCCCAGUGGAAGGCCAGCAAAGCCACACAGGAAGAGUUGGGGUAGGAAAGCAGAAAGUGAACCCCAGGAGGCCAGGCUGGCCACGGAGCCCCAUCGCACACACACAGGCCCGGUGACUCAGGGGCCCACGUGUGCAGGACACCGGGAGCUCACAGGGACAGCGUCCCGGGGGAUGCAAGGAACUUUGCCUCUCUGUCCCUCUCCGUAGGGAUGGAAAGUGGAGAGCGAUUUCUGGGAUGGAAGCCAUCUGCCUCCUCUCAACUCUUGCUGCCCAACCAGAAAGGGAAGAAAAGCAGGAAGAUGCUGGGCAGGUGAGGAGCUGGGUGAGCGCCGCCAGCCCGCAGCCCAGCAGAGCAGGGCUUGGCCAAGCCUGGCGCCAGGGACUUCUCCCC
rnacentral:lncRNA from 1 species